CCAACACAGUCAAUUCUCUAAAAUUUUCAUCGGUGAUUUUGGUGAUUUUGGACUUUUGAAUGUAAUCUUGUUAAUAAUUUACGUAGAAACUUGAAAUAAGGACUAUUGAUCAUCAAUACUUUUAUAAAAGCACGAUGGAUCUGGUACUUAAAAUGUGUCGUUUAUGCCUGGAGUCGGUCGAGCCGGCCGCCGUGGUAGUCCUGAACGAGGCGGAACAUCUGGUUGAAUCCAUUUAUCAAUUAACUACCAUCGAGGUCAUCACAGACCCAGCGUCCCGCGUAUUCAUGUGUGACCAGUGUCAAAACCGGCUCGAUGUGGCCAUUCAGUUCCAUGCAAUGUGCCUCCAAAAUGAUGAAACCUUCCGAAAGAUGUACGCUUUUCACGCAAAUUCAUUGGAUUCCAAAAAGACCGAACAGUUCAAUUCUAGUUCCGAAUUCAUAGAAUGUAAAAUUGAAGAUGAAUCGGAAAACAGUGAGAUGAUGUUCAAAAACCAGCAGUUGGAUGAAACUGUCAUAGAACAAGAACAAGCGUCUCCAAAACCCGAGAAACGCAACCCCACAACAACACGCAAAAAAUAUAAACCGAAAACCAAGCACAAGGCGUCCCCACCGGAAAAGGUCCAAUGCCAAACGUGCGGGGCGUUUGUCCACCCGACGCACUUGCCCAAGCACCAGCAGAUUCACGAAAAAGAUCGGCCCAUGUUUGCGUGCGAGCGGUGUCCGAAAAAAUACACCGAGCAGCGGAAGCUGCGGGAGCACGUAACAAUCGUUCACGAGGGCCACCUGGAGCACACGUGCGAUCGCUGCGGCAAGACGUUCCACCGGUGGGAAACGUUGCGGCAGCACUAUCUCGGCGAGCAUACGGAUUUGAAGAAAUACGAGUGCAAGAUAUGCGGAGAGAAGUUCGCCCGUUCGGCGAAUCGUAACUAUCACCAUACAAUGUAUCACACGGUGGCGAAGCCCUUCGCUUGCUCUCUAUGCGAUAAAAGUUUCAAAAGAAGCUGUGAUCUCACGAUUCACAUCCGGACGCACACCGGUGAGAAACCGUUCAAGUGUGAUAUUUGCGGGAAGGCUUUUGCCAAAAGCUACAACGUGGUGAUUCAUAAAAAGUCUCACAAAAGUGUUGAAAUGAGAAAGGCCAUCAAGCUGAAAACCGAAGAUUCAUAGGAUGGAUACAUGGAGUAUGAUGCGAUUGUUAUGGAGUGAUUGGUAUGGACACAGAGAAACAGAACAAAUUUCGGUUUAAAACAUCGUCACAAAAACGUAACCCAAUACAGUCAACUUUCGGUCGUUGGGCUACGUUUAGGUGGGCUACGUUUUAACUGGGCGCCCGUUAGGUGGGCUAUAGCCCAGUUAAAACGAAGUCAAACGUCACUUUUUGACGUGAAGUACGAUUUGUCAAGGUUGGUAGCCCUGAACCUCUAUUGUUAAAGAUUAUUUGACAGCUCAAAACUCAGCCCACCUAGUGAAAGUCUUUCACUAACUGGGCCAGUGUUGGUAAAAUCACACUCAAAGCAGACUCAUGAACCGCUCCUGCGUGAGUAAACUCGCGCGCGAUUCUGAAUCAUUUUCUCACGCGUGAGAUUUUCAUGCAAAAUUUCGUUCUCACGAGUCAAGCGCCGAAAUCUUGUGGGGUGCAAUCGAAUAAAAACCGCGGCGAUUACUUCGAAAUAAAACUCUUUAUUAUUCAAACGUGUUUUACACGAGCGCGUCUUGUUUACUUCUGACAACUCUCUCUUAGGGUGGUUACGUAAAAUACUAUUGUCGAUAGGGUGGCUCCAAAUGGACCGCCACAUGCGCCCCCCCAGUUACACAAUGAAUCGAACACGGUGUCCUGCUGGCGUAAUCACUGUGUGACGAUCAUCUUGGGGGUAACUUGAUAAAUUUUGAUCGCAGAUGAAGGCAGGCUUCACUCGGUCGACUGAUACUACCUGUUUCUUCCCGAAUACCAGAAUCUCAAAAUAUUUAUCGCUUCGCUUAACAACUUCAUAUGGUCCUUCAUAAGGCUGUUGCAGAGGUCGUUUGACUGCAUCGAUGCGCACGAACACAUGGCUGCAAUCAUUCAAUCUACUGCCGGUGGACGCAUAACUGUCCCAUGUGACUUUUUGAUGAUUUUGAGUUUUUGUAGCCAAACGUCAUAAAUUAACAUGUAUUUUUAUAAUACGAAAUAAAAAAUAGAUGUUUGUUCCAAAAAAUGUCGAAAAAAUGUGUGGCUGAUUUGUAACAUUUAGAAAAGUGGACGCAUAUUUGUCACACUCUGAAAGUUGGACGCAUAUUUGUCACGUUGGGACAAUGAAUUCAUAUCUAACGAACGUAAUUUUAACAAUACGUAAAUUAAGUAUCAAAAAUAAAAGUGCUUUAGGGUUUUUACAAACUUGAUAAAAAAACAAAAGGGGUUGAUCAUAACCUAUGGUAAUAUUUAUGUUUUAACUACGUUUUAUCACUAAUAAAAUCACAAAAAAAAACUAUCUUUCGGAAACCCACUAAACAUUAAACUUAUCGGAAUAUUAUCUAGAUUAAACCAUAGUAGAUGUGUCCGAGAAUCCUAGAAAUACAAUUACGUAGUUUAUGCACUAGCUAUGUAAACAGAAAGUGUGGAAACUUGCAUCAGUCUCGUCUGAUUAAAAAAGCAAGAUUAGUUCGAUUGUUUGGCCUUUGUUUAUUUCAUAAAUAUCGAAUUCAGAGUAACAACAAAAAUUAUGCGGGCUAGCCUGCAUCCACUAUGCAUCACUUUCAUCUGAUGAUUCGUCUUUUGUAGGCAGAUCAACGUAGAACGAUUUUUCUUGUUCGGAAACGAUAGGUGUAAUAACUGCCAACAGAGAUGCCUUCCUGUCGGUAUCAAUGCCACGUGGUGACGUCUGCCGGAGCAAAUUAGCUUCAAUGGAGAAUGUAUCUUGGUUGAUUAGCCCAGACUGCUUUUUAGAGAACAGUUUGCAGUAUUUGAGUUUGUCACCGUUGAUACCGUCGGAGUAUCCCAGUUCGUACUUCCCUUUUUUGAAGACCACUUUUCGCAUGUUCUCCACAUAUGGUCGAGGUUUACAUGAAUUCAGCGUGUACUGAGAGACAUUCAUCUUGGUUUGAAAGAAGUCGGUUACCUGCAUGUCGAGUAUAUCAACAUCUUUCUUCGCAUUGGCUACUGCUGACUUGAAGUUUUCGAACGUUACAACUCGUUCGUGGCGCAUUUUGGCUUCAACUGCGGCGUGAAACGAGUCGGCGGCCAUAAAUGUGUGGCCUGGCUCGAAAUACUUGAAGAUUAUUUGCUCACACUGAAUUUCGCCCUUCACCAGGAGGACAAUAUGCUGGAAUAGAUUCCAGUUUUUGUUUUGGGAUGAACAGUUGUCCAACCAAAACGUGAUUUUCUUUAGAUGAGCGUACUUUCUAAUAAUUUUAACAAAACAACUGAGCAUAUCAUUUGCAUUGCGGCCGCUUAUUGCCUCCGACCAAAUGCACGCCGACACGGGAUGUACUCGUGCAUAUGCCCCGACUGGUGCGAACGUUUCGUUGAAAACCAACAAUCGUUGUGAGAAGAUAACACUUUUGAAUCCGUCCAGCCGAGGAAGUUGUAUGACCUAAAAUAUAAAUAUGUAUCACAAAAACGUGAAUUGUUGAGAAUUCUCUUGAAAUACUUUUUGUAAGUCAACUGAGAAAACGAUUUCGUCAGGUGUUGUCGAAUCUCCGUCUUCUCGGUAUGCCAUUCGGGAAUAAAACGCUUAUGGUGAAGUGUGUGUGCUGCACAUGUGGCACAAUCUUCCGGGUCCGGAUCCGAAUACACGACCGCCUUCUUGUGCUGCUCAGCAGCAACACACGCCUCACAUUGUUCAUUCCCAAGUCGCACGAAUGAUAUGUUACAUUUCUUCACAACUUUACAAUACAAUGAGUAGCUUGCUUUAGGAGUUUGUGUGGCUAUGUAAUGGUUGUACAUGGCCUUUUCCGUGAGGUCAGAAGGAAGAUAAAGACGGUUCGGUGCAUGUUCCCUUCGGUAGUGUGAGAUUUGUGGCCCAUAGGUGAAAAUAUGCUGCUUAAUGGCAUCUCGAGCGUCAUUAUUUCUUUUGUAUUUUCCACGUUUGGAUUCUCGCGGACUAUCCGAGGAGUCUUGGAAACUUCUGUAAAUCAAAUUGCUGGAUUUUUACAUAAAAUUUUAGUUGUUCAAUAUUGAAAGAGAUUCUCAAACUUACCCACAGGAUUCGCGAAAUCCAAUUGUGUUCAAGAAAUAUUUCCUGCAAACCACAACGGGAUCCGAACUUGCACAGGGAAGUGUGCAUGCAUAAGCAAGUCGUUUUGACAAAUUAGCCUUCUUGAUAUUAUCGCGACGUCUUUCUAUUGGUUUCAGGUGAGCGUACUGUCUGAUUAAGUUUCCUUGCCCGGCGCUGUCCUCAUCCCAAAAGCGUUCGUGGAACCGCAACCUGUCAUCCCGUGAAAAUUUUUCGUUGCAUUUUCUGUGGCAAGUACAGUCGUCCAGGAUGAUCGAGUGUGACGAAUGGCGUUUUUUCGCGUUUGCUUCCUUGGUCAACACUUCUUUGGUUUUCCUUUUGGGAGUUUUUAGCUGUCUCUCUUCGCCGUUCGCUUUACCCGAAUCUGAUUCGCAAUCUUCGGUGGCGUGUUCUCCCGAAUCCCGAUGCUUCUAAGCAAUCAGAAGCGGUCGAUUCAGGUUCCGGAACUUCAUCGAAGUCGGUUUGACUGCAAUUUGAUUGUUGCUCGAGAAAACUGAGGGAAUCAUCCGAGAAACAAAAUCCUGCGGAGCUACCCGUAUCUGAAGAAUCCGUACAAGCGGUUCUCUUUCUAGUACUCGGUCCGGCGUCCAUAUCUUCAUCAUCAGAAGCAGUUUGGUUGAACGUUUCGCUGUGAGAUCCUGCGUUGCCGGCUUUUCCUUUGUUACCUUCAUUCGCGGAUUACAUUCCAGUUCCAGAUCGAACCCCAGAAAUUCGUCUUCGGAAUCGGUGCAAUCGGAACCGUACUGCUUCAAGAGCUCUAGGGACAUUUUAACUUUCUGUUAACAAAACAACACUUUUUUGAACUUGAAAAAAAAAAACGUGGUAAACACGCGAAGUGUCAAACACAACAAGAAGCCUCGAAUCACGGUGGGACUGAUAUGCGUCCAUUUCCACGAGCACCAAGCAAAUUCUCGGCAUAAGCGUCACAAUGCCAACUUUUAACGAUAAAAUUAUGAUUUUGUUAAACUUUUUAUAAAAUUUGCCCGGGCUGCGUAGAACUAGUAUAAAUGCAUAAACAUUUACCUCCAUAAUUAUAUUUGAUGCUUAAUUAAACCGAAAAAAUGUAAAACCAAAUUUUGUGCUUCAAACGCGAUUUUCUCGAUUGUCUGUUUUUGCACAUGGGACAGUUAUGCGUCCACCGGCAGUCUAGGGUUCAUGAAAACUCGUUCUUUCGAAUGACGUGUGCCUUCAGGAGCUUUCAAAUCCGAAAACAUUCGAUGUAAUUCCUUCGCGAAUUCCGUACGGUUGACAUCCUGGGCAGGCGAGUCGUAGAAUUCUCCUGGAAUCCUUAACUGUUGGCCAAACACGAGGUCCGCUGCCGAACAUCGGGAAUCCUCACGAAAGGCAGAUCUUAAUCCAAGUAGUACCAACGGUAGGCGGUCGUGCCAGUUCUUCGGAUCGGUGCACAUUAAUGCCGCUUUCAUCGUACGGUGGAAACGCUCCACCAUUCCGUUCGAUUGGGGAUGAUAAGCGGUGGUGUGAAUGUGAUGUACUCCAAGCAGGUGCGUCAGCUCUUUGAACACUUCUGACUCAAACUGACGCCCUUGGUCAGUAGUAAUUGUUUCAGGUGCGCCAUAUCGAGAAAUCCAUUCGGUGUACAAAGCCAUUGCUACUGUCCGAGCCGUAAUAUCCUGGAGUGGUAUUGCUUCGGGCCAACGGGAAAAUCGGUCGACAAUGGUGAGCAGAUAACGGUUUCCCUUGGAUGGCGGUAGGGGGCCAACCAAAUCAACGUGGAUAUGCCGAAACCGAGCUUUGGGCUUUUCGAAACUGGAAAUCGGUGCAUGUGAAGCGCCCUGUACCGUCCAGGGGCUGCAUUAAACACUACACGGAAUGUGAUAUCUUUCAUUUCAUUACAGUCCGACACAGUUUUAAUAAACUAUAUUGAAGUAUCACAAACCAUCACUUAUCUUAUAUUACAACGGUUCACUUUUUCUUAUAUCAUCUUAACAUUAUCUGUAUUUCUUCACCGAACUACUAGAGACACUUCCAGCUUCUUCUUGACCCGACUACUACGUCCUACCUACAGCUUUUAUUUGGACAGUAUCUAGAGGUGUCCCACAUGGGAGCUCAAGACUUAUCCGAUGUGCUGCCUGCGUUAACGUUGUCACCGAACUCCCCGACUACUGACUCUCAACAACUGACCCCGACUGAAGCCAAAGCCUCCGUAUUUAUAGCCUAAAUUUCCUAGCAAUACCCGAACCAGCUUGGGCGUGUCUAAAAUUCCUACGAUCAUUCUCGUCUUGCCGAAGAUGUCAUGAUAAAUCCUAACAAUGCCCGAACCAAUUUGGGCGUAUCCAAAACCCUACCAAAUGAAAAUACUAAUAAGUCCAAAACCUAGACCUCUACCUAUCCUACUUGUCCUCAUCGUGAUUAAAAUCCUUCUCUUCUUGAAAACAUCACGACUCUUCUAUCUUGGGCGUAUCCCAAGCCCAACGAAAAACUUAAAUCUCCUAACCACGCCUGACUUGGGCGUGUUCGCACAAAACCUACUGAGAAUCUUUACACCACGGCCUACAUCUUCUAGCCCCGCCUCACUUGAGCGUAUACAAGGCUUGGGUGUGUGAAAGAAUUGAACCCCACCAUCAACGUCAUUAUCAUUCUCCCCAUCAUCAUCAUCGUCACCAUCAUCAUCCUCAUCGUCUUUGGAAUUUGGCACCAAAUUCUCCAAAACAAAGCGCCUGCUUUGUUAUUGAAGUGUACCUUACUUGGGCACAGUGAACCCUAGCCGAACCCCGUACGCGGAUGUUGGUUGAAAUUAUACCCCCACAUUCUUUUCUUUCAGUUUACUCGAAGUCAAAACAAAUCGAGUGCAAAACAAGUCCGGCGCCGUAUGCCGCCAAUACGGUGUCUCAAUUUCAGAACAUUCCAGCUAAGGUUCACCUGAGUUCAGAACCUUACCCGGCCAAUUCGGCGCCUUGAUUUCGAAACAAAAAAAUAAACAAUCUUUAUUCCAGCGCGUUAAAUAUGAUGUCGCGGUUCCAUAUCAUUCUUUCGGGUUUAUUACCCAUCGUUGUCCCGUAAGCAUAAUUGAAAUUGCAUCACACCGACCGGACCCAACGUGUACGAUCAUGAACAACGUAUCGUUGCGCGAUCGUUGCCCCGGCCGACCAUCCGUCCGUCGUCACAUGAGCGAUGAUUCAUAAAACCAGGCUCGGCUUGAUCGCCUUAUUGCUACGACUUCUCCCCCUUACCGAAUAAGGCUUUUGGAUGGAUACCUGUAACGAGACUUAGAUCUUGUGUUUAAUUCAUGAUUUGAUAAAAUAUAAAUAUAUUUAUGUUAAUUUCUAGUUUUUGUUUCUUGACGCCACCUAAUGAUUCCGAAUCUAAAAAUAUUACUUCAUUUUUCAUUCACAUAUUAUUAUUAUUAUUUUUUUUUUUUUAAAUUAGUUAUUCAUUCAUCAUUCACACUCAACAUUCACAAGCAUUCUGGGGGGCCCUCCCUUGUCCUCAUCAUUCAAUUUUCAUCCGAUCUCGUAUAUACUUUCAAAAAUGUUAUGUAACAUGGCCAUUUUAUAUAGGAGCGUCCUCCGUAGUUUCAUUAGGGUCUAAAUUGUUUCUAAAUUGUUUUUUUUUUUUUUGUUUAAUCCGUUUUGCUUUAUCAUUUCAGAGAAUAAUCGUUCGGUUGUUGUCAUUGUUUCUUUUUAUUAUUAAUACUCUCAAUCAACAAUUUAUGUCUUUUGUUUGUUUGUUCAAACCUCAUUUAUUAUGUAUCCCAUAUGUAUUAACGUUAAAUAGAGCUGCUUCUUUAUUCAAGAAUCUCUAAAGUUAUUAUUUUUCUUCUUAUACAUUCCCCGCUAUUGUUACCCGAUAUACCCCAAUGAUCCCCUUUCAAGAUUACUUUGUAUUUCCCAUCAUAUUAUUCCCAAUAUAUCAAUUACCCAAUUCUUCAUUCCCUUUUCAAAUAAUCAUUUUGCAUAGUUAUGUUUCCUCAUCCCAAAUUACCCCUUUUCAGCUCUUCGGUACAUUCAAAUCGUUCUUGCAUUCAAACUCAUGCCGAAUUGAUGGACGCAUUUUUGUUAUAAUUCAGCUGUACAAAAUUUCCCGAAAACUUAUUUUCAUUAUCCUGAUUCAUUUAUCAUCAUCAUUUCUUUAUGUCUCUCCAUAUUCUCAUAUUUUUUUUUUUUUUUUUAAUUUAUUGCUAUUAUCAUAAUUUUUUAUUUUAUUUUAUUUUUUUUUCAAUUCCUUUUAAGUUGUUACGAUAUAAUUUCAAUUAAGUUAAUUCGUAUGCUCUCCAAUCGUUAACCGCUUUGUUGUGAACCUUACUACAAUUAUAUAUGUUAAUUGUUUAUUUAUUAUAAUAAUUCAAUUAAUAUUCCUAGCUAUCCUACGCAAGCCUCUAUCCUAACAUAUUAUUCCUAUGGUAUUUUUUUUUAACAACAUAUUUAGUAACUAAUAUUUACAAAAAAUCAUUCGUAAUAAGGAAAUAAUUGGUUUUUCAAUAUUUACAUCAAUUUAUACAUUGACGACUACGCAUAGCUAAUCAAUUAUUAUACUUUUUUAACCUAUUAUUGUGGACUUUUUCAAAUUUGUUCCCAUUUUUAAUGAUUGUGGUUUGUUCGCUGGGUAGGUCAACUACUGCGUAUGGGCCUCUCCAUUUACUUUAAAGUUUUUGACCUGUUCCUGUUGGGAUUGCUUGUACUAAAACCAACUCGCCCCACAUAGGUUGCCAUUCUUCGGUUUUCUUAUCAUAAAUAAUUUUACGUUUCUCUUUCGAAAUAAUCAAAUUUCUUUUGGCGUUUUCAUGCAAAUUUUUAAGAAUUUGUUUCAUUUCGCAAAAAUAGUCAUUAUAUGUUAAAUCUGAAUCUGCUGGAGUGUAUAUAGAGGUAGGAAUCCUUGCCUUUCUUCCAUAUAAAAGUUCGAACGGACUGUAGCUUGUUGAGCUAUUAUUUGUAGUAUUGUAUUCAAAGGUAAAAUAAUCAAGAUGUUGGUCCCAUUGUUGCGGGUUUUCUCCGACAAAUUGUCGCAAAUAUGUUUUCAAUUCUCUGUUUGAUCGUUCUACUAGAUUUGCUUGUGGGUGAUAAGCACUUGUAUUGAUUUUUUUGAUUUUCAAAAUUUUGCAUGCGUGUUUAAAAAAUUUGCUCAUGAAAUUUGCUCCUUGGUCUGUCACCAGUUCCAACGGAGUACCGAAUUUACAAAUGAAUUUUUCGACAAAAGUUUUGGAUACAGUCUCCGCUUCUUGAUUGUCCAUUGGAGCUACUACCAAAAAUCUUGUAAGGUCAUCCUGCAUGACCAGCGCGUAUUUGUUGCCCCAUUCGGAUUCUGGGAGAACUACAAUAUCCAUAUAUAAUUUUUCAAAUGGCUCGGAUGACGUUGUGGUUACUUUUAUGGAUUCUUCAACUUCAGCCUCGUCCGAUAUCGCACUCGUACUUGCUGGAGGUGAAUUUGACACCUUGUUUAUGCCGCGUAGGCAUGCUCGUAGGUCAGAACCCGUGCAAUUAUUAUUUACGCUAUCAUUCAUAUAGGUCUUUUUUUGCGUUUUUGUUUUGGUUCCCUCGCUUUCAUAGUCCCGGGCAGCGAUCGCGCCCCCGUUACUGCGGCACGGAACGGUGUCUUUUCCCAUCAGCUGCUUGUUUGGAUGAAUGAAUAUGUUUUCUUGUUCUGCUUUUUUCUUUUGCUGUCGGGUGACCACAGCAAUUAAUUGCGACCUUGCGGUUUUAAUUUCAUCGGCUGGAUGACUUUGCUCUUCUGAUUCAUUGUCUGGAUUUAACCUAGAGAGAAAAUCCGCUACAACGUUAUCCUUUCCUUGUUUGUAUCGAAUAUCGCAUUCCAAUCCUUGCAAUUUCAAACGCAAACGUGUGAGGACUGAUGAAGUUUCUUUUAGAUGCCAUAUUGAGAUCAAUGGUCUAUGAUCUGUGUAAACAAUAAAUCUCUGAUUGUAAAUAUAAUGACGGAAAUAAUUCACUGCCCAUACUAUGGCCAGUAAUUCUUUCUCAAUUGUAUGAUAUUUUCGUUCUGCUCCAAUAAGUCCCCUACUAGCGUAAGCUAUGGGUCUGUCAAUUGAUUUUUCAUUCGAUAAAACUGCUCCAAUAGCGUAUUCACUGGCAUCUGUCGUUAAAACAAAUGUGUCCUUGUAAUUUGGUCUCACUAGCAAAGAGUCAGACGUUAAAAAGUUUUUCAAUUCUUCAAAUGCUUUCUGGCACUCUGAGGUCCAGUUAAAUUUUACAUUUUUCUUCAAUAGAUCAUUCAGAGGUUUUCGUUUUUCUGCAAUUCCUGGUAUAAGCUUACCAUAAAAGUUAACUGUUCCUAGGAAUGAUCGCACUCCUUUUACAGUUUUUGGUAUUGCCAUUUCUCGUAUAGCCUUAAUAUUACCAUCAAGCGGACGAAUACCAUUUUUAUCAACUGUAUGUCCUAAAAAUUUCAAUUCGGUUUUCAAAAUUUGGCAUUUUGUUGGUUCAAUUUUUAAAUUAUGUUUACGAAGAGCUUUCAAAACUUUAAUCAGAUUCUCGUUAUGCUCUUGAAUUGUUCUUCCAAAAACAAUGAUAUCAUCCAAAUAAACGAUUGCUUUAACAUCUUCAAUUUCAAAUAAAACUGUGUUCAUCAGUCUUUGAAAAGUUGAGGGACUGUUUCUAAGCCCCAUAGGCAUUCUCGUGAAUUCAAAAUGACCUUUGGGUGUAGAAAAUGCAGUUUUAGCAGCAUCUCUUGGGUCUAUAGGAACUUGAUAAAAUCCCGAUUUCAGAUCAAUUGUUGAAAAGUAUUUGCUAUCGCCUAGGCUAUCCAAUAUUUCAUUUAUUUGUGGAAUCGGAUAUACAAAUGGUUUAGUUAUCAAAUUCAAUGCCCUAAAAUCUACCACAAUUCUAUGCUUUUUGUUUCCUUCUUCGUCUAAAUCUUUCUUUGGUAUGCAUAAAACAGGUGCAUUCCAAGGACUUUUACUGGGCCUAAUAAUCCCUUGCCGACGCAUUUCUUCAAUUUCCUCAUUAAUUUGUUUCUUUGUUGAUUCAGGGAACCUAUACUGCCUUUUAUUUAUUGGCACAUUAGUCGUUGUUUCAAUUUCAUGUACUGCUGCAUCUGUUACUGUCAGGUGAUCCCCUUUCAAAUAAAAUACAUCACAAUAUCUUGCCAUUAUAUUUUCCAUUGCGUCGUAAUUAGCGCUUUUCAAAUGCUUCAAAUCAAUUGUAUCUAGCAAUUUUUCGAUACGAUUUUUACCUUGUAUUUGUUCAUAAUUCAAAUUAUCUAUCAAACUUAGAUCUUGGUUUGAAUCUAAAUCCUCCGGCGUAUAUUGAUUCCCGGCCUCUACAUUCUUAUUGUAACAUCCAUUAUUAUAAUAUGCUUCAUCAAAAUGUUGAUUUAUACAUUCCUCGUCCUCAUAAUACUUCUCAUAAAGGCACAUAUUGCAUGAAUAAUCUUUUUUCGGUACGAUUGGCUGUGUAACUAUUUCAUCAUGUAUGACUUCAUCAAUAUCAAAAUUUACUUGACAGCUUUUGUCAUUGUUAUCAUAUUGUAUACAACUAUUAUCUUGUAGAUCAGUCUGGCAAGAUUUAUCUGAUACCAUUACGUACUUUGUUGUUGUAAUAUUGUUAAUAUUAUAUUCUACACUAUCUGGCUUGCGUAGGGCUAUGUAAUCAAAGUUCUGGCUAAUAUAUAAUGUAUGCUGUUUCAAAAAUUCUGCUCCUAUGAUACCAUGUACAUUUAAGUGGUGAACUAAAUAAAAUUUUAUCUUAUACUUAGACUUCCCAAUUAUUAAACUAACUUCAGUAGAUCCGAGCGUUCUUGUUUGACUUCCAUUGAAUCCCGAAAUCAAAAACUUUUCAGAUUCAGAAUAAUCUAUGUCUGUUGCUCCGAUUCUAGGGGCUGCAUCCCAUCUUAAUAUGUUUAGUUGUGAGCCUGUGUCUAUCAUGUAAUUGAUUUUUGUGUAUGGUCUUUCUACAGUGGGUAUAUUUAACAUAAAUUGAUUAUUGCCCGUCCAAUGUAUAAAUACUUUUUCUUGUGCUGGAAUGCAUUUAUCAAAUUGAACCAUUUGUUUUUGUGGUAUGUUAUAACUCUUAUUUAUGUUCAUGGGCAUCAUUUUCUUAUUACUUGCAGCAUAUAAGCGCCUUUCUAAAUUAUUUUCUGAUUGACGGAGUGAUCGGACGCAAUUAACGAACCUCCGGUUAUUUAGUUUUUUCGCUCAUCAUAGCAAAUGUUGUUUUGAAUUCCCAUGUUGCGUUCAUCAAAAUUUCUGUUGGUCCAAUAAGGCAUCUGGUAAUCACCACGAUAAAUUUCUUGUUGUCCUAGAUAUCUAUAAUUGUUAAAAUCUUUUUCAUAACCUAUUUCGCUCUGGUUGAAUCUACUUUUAUCGUAAUGGAAGUUGUGAUCAAUACAUUGUGGAUUACUGAAUUUCUGUUUUUCAUUUUGUUGCCUGUAAAAUUCUGCAGUGUGGGAAUCCCUCAAUCUCUGCUCGAUGCGUUCUUGUUGUUCCACAUCGAUGCAUUCUUCUUGUAGGUAAUCUACCAAAUCUUCCAAUGAGUCUUCUUUUUUCGUUUUUGCAAAAACUUUCAAAUUUAUAUCUUCCAAUCCCGCUAGAAAAUGUAUUCUUAAAUGUCUUUGAGCGUAUGACUCAAUUGUAGGAUCUUUAAUAUAAUCUUGUUCGAAUUCAUCAAUAUUCCUCUUAAGUUGAAGAACGCGAUCUUUGUAGCUUUUAAAACUUUCACACUUGCCUUGUUCAAGGGUCUCUAUUUUAUUAAACAGUUCUUCCAAUUGUAAACUAACUCCGAAUUCUUUUUGGAGAUUAUCUUUCACUUUAUCCCAAGUAUUUGCAAGAAUGUUUUUAAAUUUUAACGCUGCUGGGCCUUUAAGUUUAGACAGUGCAAUUUGAAUGAGUAUGGUUUCUGCAUUUUUCCUUUCACUAGCAUCAGUUAUCCGUUUUAUGGGUUUCAAAAAACAAUUUAUUUGAUAUAUGAAAGCAUCUAAUUCACACGCACUACCAUGAAAUUCUGGAAUACACUGUAUAGCAAAAUUUAUUGGAAAUUCAAAUCUAGCGUUGUUCGCUCCACUAUUGUUGCCUAUUUCAUCCAUUGUAUUCGUGGUCAUUUUUAUGUUGAUAUUUUUACUGAUUUUUUUUUUAAUUCAAAUUAACACGACCUAAUUGUUGCAGGUCUGCUGCAUAGUUACAAUUUUUUUUUUUUCAACUUUUAAUUGAUUCCAUUCCAUUGUAAUGCUAGUUUACAGCUGAACAUCAUGUUUAGUGUAAAAUUAUGCCCUAAGUUUGAAAGCAUAAGGAAAGAAAAAUACAGUAGAGCUGAAAAUAUUUUCGAUAUCCCGUACAAAGCUGGCGAUUUUGAAUCAACAUUGCUACAACUGAUAAAGAUUUUUUUUUUUGAAAGAAAAAUACAAAUCUUGAUUUAUUGAAUAUUUUGCUAAAAUUUAAGACGAUUGUUCCUUACACUUAUCAAUAUCCAAUCUGACGAAAAAAAAAUCAGAUGUUCAAAACAUAUUACAUUCAGCUUCCUAUUAUUGCAAAAAGAUAUUGAAAAUUUGAUGAAUUGUAACUUGAGAUUUUCGAAUUUUAGUAAAUUCUAAAAAAAACUUGGUUGCGAUUGUCUCGUAUAAUAAAAAAAAAGACUGUACUUCUUAGUUUUCUUAUUUUAAACACGGUCUCAAAAUCAGCACGUAAUUAUGCAUCAAUAAUUUUAAUCGUUAACAGAAGUCCGCGAUUUUCCUUUGAUUUUAUUAACUAGUGUUUGUUCGUAAUUUUCAUCCACUUGUUCUUCUUGAAAUCAUUAUUGUUGUUAUAUUUUUCCAUUAUUUAUUGAAAAUCACUAUGAUUUCCCUUUUUUUUUAUUAAUUUUUGAAUAACUUCUUUAUUUUUCCCACAACAGUAUUUCAAUUAAAAUGUUUUUGUUUGUAUCGUAAAAAAUUUCCUUCAUUUCAAACCACCUCACAAAAAUUUUAAACCAUCUCAAACACUUAAUCAUUUAAAAGGUUAAUACUCACGAUACCAUCAAAUAAUGCAGGCUGAAUUAUGUCCAUUGGUCCAGACACUCGGUUCCAUACACAGGUUGUUGCGUUGCCAUUUCCUAUUCGGUGCUACGUUGUAUUCCACUAUCACUUGCGUUGCCACGAACUUCAUCUUUUCCAUCCAGUCUGUAACAUUGUUUUCUUCUCAAUUGUUCAAAACUGUUCAAUGUUAAUGGUUUGCACUGAUUCUGACACUGAUUUCUUCUUCCAGUCAGAAAAUUGGCGUUCCGCUGUUCUAAUUGUCGAACAGUUUUGCGCUGUCACCAUAUUGAAGCGCCCUGUACCGUCCAGGGGCUGCAUUAAACACUACACGGAAUGUGAUAUCUUUCAUUUCAUUACAGUCCGACACAGUUUUAAUAAACUAUAUUGAAGUAUCACAAACCAUCACUUAUCUUAUAUUACAACGGUUCACUUUUUCUUAUAUCAUCUUAACAUUAUCUGUAUUUCUUCACCGAACUACUAGAGACACUUCCAGCUUCUUCUUGACCCGACUACUACGUCCUACCUACAGCUUUUAUUUGGACAGUAUCUAGAGGUGUCCCACAUGGGAGCUCAAGACUUAUCCGAUGUGCUGCCUGCGUUAACGUUGUCACCGAACUCCCCGACUACUGACUCUCAACAACUGACCCCGACUGAAGCCAAAGCCUCCGUAUUUAUAGCCUAAAUUUCCUAGCAAUACCCGAACCAGCUUGGGCGUGUCUAAAAUUCCUACGAUCAUUCUCGUCUUGCCGAAGAUGUCAUGAUAAAUCCUAACAAUGCCCGAACCAAUUUGGGCGUAUCCAAAACCCUACCAAAUGAAAAUACUAAUAAGUCCAAAACCUAGACCUCUACCUAUCCUACUUGUCCUCAUCGUGAUUAAAAUCCUUCUCUUCUUGAAAACAUCACGACUCUUCUAUCUUGGGCGUAUCCCAAGCCCAACGAAAAACUUAAAUCUCCUAACCACGCCUGACUUGGGCGUGUUCGCACAAAACCUACUGAGAAUCUUUACACCACGGCCCAGUGUUGGGAAAAACUCAAAUUCUCAAAUCUCAUGGAUGAGUUGUUUCAUGCGCGAUUCUUGACUCGCCAAACUCGCCGCCGAAAAAAUCAUGCAUGAGUUGACUCGUGAUUUCACUCAUUGCUAUAUUUCUUGGUGUUACUACUAUUUACAUCGAAGUUUUUAGGAUUGCAUGAUAGAACAAAAGCAAAUCUAGCGUACAACAACAUUGAAUGUCGUUCAAAUUGAUUUGAAUUUGUUUUAUAAGCAAACGAGAUUUCGGCGCUUGACUCGUGAGAGCGAGAUUUUGCAUGAAAAACUCGCGCGUGAGAAAACGAUUCAGAAUCGCGCGCGAGUUUGCUCACGCAGGAGCGGUUCAUGAGUGUGCUUUGAGUGUGAGUUUACCAACACUGCCACGGCCUACAUCUUCUAGCCCCGCCUCACUUGAGCGUAUACAAGGCUUGGGUGUGUGAAAGAAUUGAACCCCACCAUCAACGUCAUUAUCAUUCUCCCCAUCAUCAUCAUCGUCACCAUCAUCAUCCUCAUCGUCUUUGGAAUUUGGCACCAAAUUCUCCAAAACAAAGCGCCUGCUUUGUUAUUGAAGUGUACCUUACUUGGGCACAGUGAACCCUAGCCGAACCCCGUACGCGGAUGUUGGUUGAAAUUAUACCCCCACAUUCUUUUCUUUCAGUUUACUCGAAGUCAAAACAAAUCGAGUGCAAAACAAGUCCGGCGCCGUAUGCCGCCAAUACGGUGUCUCAAUUUCAGAACAUUCCAGCUAAGGUUCACCUGAGUUCAGAACCUUACCCGGCCAAUUCGGCGCCUUGAUUUCGAAACAAAAAAAUAAACAAUCUUUAUUCCAGCGCGUUAAAUAUGAUGUCGCGGUUCCAUAUCAUUCUUUCGGGUUUAUUACCCAUCGUUGUCCCGUAAGCAUAAUUGAAAUUGCAUCACACCGACCGGACCCAACGUGUACGAUCAUGAACAACGUAUCGUUGCGCGAUCGUUGCCCCGGCCGACCAUCCGUCCGUCGUCACAUGAGCGAUGAUUCAUAAAACCAGGUCAGUAAUGUAUGGUGCGAUUUUUCUAGCUGCCGAAAUUUUGCGCGUUAGUUGCGAUGGGCAUUGAUAUUGGCGUAAAUUAAAGCCGUUCUUAUGGGAGUGUGGGGUGAAAUGCACUUUUAUCAUUUGAAUUAAAUUUUAAUAUCGGAGUGUGUGGGAUAUUUAGGUCUAUGCACAUGGGUGUGACGAAAAACCUUCGAUCGUUGGCAUUGCUGGCAAGCUCUAACAAACUGGGCGAUAUCCUUGUUCAUCGAUGGCCAAACAAAUCUGUCGGUGAUGAGUUUCCUUGUGGCUCUUAUUCCCGGAUGUGCUAAUCCAUGUAGUUGAUCCAUUAUCGCUCCACGAUGCUUUUCUGGAAGAUAAGGUCGAACGGAAUUACUGAUGGACACAUCACAGUAUAUCGGUGUAGUCAAUGACGGAAUGCGUCGCUGCUGCAGAUUAAGGGACGUUUUGUUGGAUCUCAAUAAAUCCUGUAGCUGACCGUCAGUUGCUUGAUCUUUUGCAAUCGAGUUGAAAUCGAUGCUCGCGACGACUACACUCACUCUAGACAUUGCAUCAGCCACUAUGUUAUCUUUACCGCUAAUGUGGCGUAUGUCAGUAGUGAACUCGGCCAAAUACUGCAAGUACCUCUCUUCGUGUGGUAGACGACUGCUUGGAUCUGUGGUCAUAGCAUAUGUCAACGGAAAGGGGUCGGUAAAAAUCGUAAACUGGCGUCCCUCCACCAGAUGUCUGAAAUAUUUCACCGCGAGCUUUGCAGUAUAGACACUAUAGAUUCCAUAGACUCGCGAAGGCUUAGACAACUGUAGCCAAACGAACUGUCAGUUCGUGUAGCCAAACGAGCAUGACGUCACGAUUUCAAUAACGACAAUGGAUUGCGUGACGUCACAUUUGCUCGGUACACUCUAAAUUCAUGGUAAAACACACUAAAAUCGUAUUGCUCAACCAUGUCUCCGCGAGUCUAUGGAAUCUAUAGUGUCUAUACUUUGCAGCCGUAAGCUCUCGGCCAAAAGUGGAGUAUUUCUGUUGGCUUGGAGAAAACUUUUCGGAAAAGAAUCCCAACGGUUUCCAGAUUCCAUCUUCAAGUUGUUGCAGAACCGCACCCGCAGCAAAGUUGGAAGCAUCCACCAUGAGGCCGAGGGGCUUCGAAGCGUUUGGAUAAUGCAACAACGUUGCAUCGGCCAGCGACUUUUUGCAAUUAUCAAAACAGCAUGCAGCCUGGUCGCUCCAAGAAAUUGGCCUGGAAUCGUUCUUUCGAUUGUCCGGAAUAAGUGCUCUUAAAGAACGUUGGAUGUCAACAGCAUGUGGAAUAAAACGUUUGUAAACGUUCAACAAAGCCAGAAAUCGUCGCAAAUCCUUCACGGUUUUUGGAGGUUUGUAAUCCAGCACCGCUUGAACACGAGCGGGGAGCGGCCGCACUCCUUCUUUGCCCACGACGUAGCCGAUAAAUUCUACUUCAGGAAGAAAAAAAUUGCAUUUAUCGGAGUUUAUGGUUAGGCCAUUACUCUUUAGACGAUCGAGUACCAUCCUCACGUGUUGUAUGUGCUCUGCUUCGUUGGCGGAAGCAAUGCAAAUAUCGUCAAUGAAAACUAUGACGAAGUCAAGAUCGGCAAACAACUUAUUCAUGAACCUUUGGAAUGUUUGGCUUGCAUUGCAGAGGCCGAAUGGCAUUCGAGUAAAUUCGAACAGUCCAAAAGGUGUUAUAACGGCAGUUUUUGGUAUGUCGGCCGUUUCCACUGGGAUAUUGUAAUAGGCUCGCACGAGAUCCAAUGUGGUGAAUAUGCUCUUACCUUCGAAACGAUUCAGAAGAUCGUGUACAUGAGGGACAGGAUAACGAUCCGGAACUGUUACUUUGUUGAGACGCCGGUAGUCCCCCACGAACCUCCAUUCGCCGUUCUUUUUUGGAACGCAAUGCAGUGCGCUCGCCCAGCUGCUGCUUGACGGUCUGCAAAUUCCCAUUUCGCACAUGAUCCUGAAUUCUUCUUUCGCUGCUUUCAAUUUUUCCGGGUGCAUUCUGCGAGCUUUGCAUGCUACCGGUGGCCCACGCGUGACUAUGUGAUGUGUCACAUCAUGCAAAAUCUCGCGAUGCGCUAGUGUCGGGAUGAGGAUUUCACGAUAGUCGGACAAAACUUUGUGAAACGGAUGAUUUGCACUGAUGACAGUUAUCCCAUGUAUGGUAGCGGUUUUCAAGCUUCCAGUACUACGAAGAUGAGUAGUCCGAUCGAUCAGCUGACGGUGUCCCAAGUCAACGAGGAGUCCAUAAUGCGCCAGCAGAUCGGCGCCGAUGAUUGCGCUGCUAACGUCUGCUACCAGAAACCGCCAGGUGAAACGUCGUCGUAGUCCAAGAUCCACUGACAGAAACUUGUUUCCGAAGGUGUUUAUUUUUGUGCCAUUUGCUGCGUGCAGGGAAAAGGGAGCGAUGCCUCUGCGCUUGUCCGUCUUAGUGGCAGGGAUUAUGGAGACGUCCGAGCCUGUGUCCACAAGAAAUUUGUAUCGAGUCGUACUGUCGAGUAUAGUUAGACGGCGACUUUCGAACUCACCACCCACCUGCGCCGAUUCUAGUGGGCGAGUUCCUAGUUUUUUGCAUGCCUGUAAGAACAUGGUUCUCGGCAGCGCUCCGCUUUGCCUCCAUAUUUCCGAUGGUACCAGCAAAUCGAAUCAUUCGACGAGCGGGAUCUGGAGAAAGAUCGGCUGCGGCUCCUGUUUGGUCCACUUUUCAGUCGUCGAAUUUCAGCUGUUAGCACUUCUAUUUCCUCCUUCAAGGACGCCAAUUCAGCCGACUGAGUGCUUGUGGUUGGUGUUGUGCAGGUGGAGUUGACGGUGGCUUGAUCCUUGGACGAAACGGUGACGGCAGCAAUGUUGCUAUUCGAGGAAUCAAUCAUUUUGUCAGCCAUUUCAGCUAGUUUCGGCAGGCUACCAUCGCUGAUCGCCAAAACUGCUCUCACGUUGGCCGGCAUCCGUUGUAGGAAGAGCAUCUUCAUGAGAUUAUCAUCAACAUUCAGUCCAGUGGCAACUUCAUUCAUCCGGGCAAGCAGAUGAGUCGGGCGGAAAUCUCCCAGAUCGCACGAGCUCAGCAGCUGCUCCAGUCGCGCUUGUGGAGACAGAGCGAAUCGCGCAAUCAACCGGUCCUUGAUCGCUUUAUACUUAUCAGCGGCCGGUGGGUUCGAGACGAGGUCCGACACAUGACAAAUAACGCUCUGGCUAGGGGCAAGACACUGUGCAAACGAGAGUAACUCUGAGAAAUUCUGAGUAACUCUUUUCAUCAAUGAUCGACAAAAUUUGUUGAAAAACACCCCUAAAACUGCAAGAAAAGCGAGAUAUCAGGCAACAUUGUUUUGAUUUUGCGAUAAAUCAGGCAACACUUAUGUAAAAACGGGAGCAAUCCGGAGAAAUUCUGAGCAACUCUGUGAUGGAAAAUGUACUCUCCAGCACAGUGUCUUGCCCCAAG